rnacentral:rRNA from 1 species
UACGUAGGUGGCGAGCGUUGUCCGGAUUUACUGGGCGUAAAGAGCGCGCAGGCGGUCGUUCAAGUCGCGUGUGAAAGCCCCCGGCUCAACUGGGGAGGGUCACGCGAUACUGAUCGACUCGAAGGCAGGAGAGGGUAGUGGAAUUCCCGGUGUAGUGGUGAAAUGCGUAGAUAUCGGGAGGAAUACCGGUGGCGAAGGCGGCAUCCUGGACCGACAUUGACGCUGAAAGCCGAAAGCUAGGGGAGCAAACGGG